rnacentral:ncRNA from 1 species
GAUCCGUAACUUCGGGAAAAGGAUUGGCUCUAAGGGUCGGGCGCGUUGGGCCUUGGGGGAAAGCCUCCGGAGCAGGAGGGCACUAGCCGGGCAACCGGCGGGCGCCUUCCAGCAUCGGGGUGUGGACGCCCUUGGCAGUCUUCGGCCGCACAGCGCGCGAUUAACGACCAACUUAGAACUUGGAC